rnacentral:rRNA from 1 species
AGAGUUUGAUCCUGGCUCAGAACGAACGCUGGCGGCAGGCCUAACACAUGCAAGUCGAGCGCUACCUUCGGGUGGAGCGGCGGACGGGUUAGUAACGCGUGGGAAUAUACCCUUUUCUACGGAAUAGCCUCGGGAAACUGAGAGUAAUACCGUAUACGCCCUUCGGGGGAAAGAUUUAUCGGUGAAGGAUUAGCCCGCGUUGGAUUAGGUAGUUGGUGGGGUAAUGGCCUACCAAGCCUACGAUCCAUAGCUGGUUUGAGAGGGUGAUCAGCAACACUGGGACUGAGACACGGCCCAGACUCCUACGGGAGGCAGCAGUGGGGAAUCUUAGACAAUGGGCGCAAGCCUGAUCUAGCCAUGCCGCGUGAGUGACGAAGGCCUUAGGGUCGUAAAGCUCUUUCGCUAGGGAAGAUAAUGACGGUACCUAGUAAAGAAGUCCCGGCUAACUCCGUGCCAGCAGCCGCGGUAAUACGGAGGGGACUAGCGUUGUUCGGAAUUACUGGGCGUAAAGCGCACGUAGGCGGAUUGGAAAGUAGGGGGUGAAAUCCCAGGGCUCAACCCUGGAACUGCCUCCUAAACUAUCAGUCUAGAGUUCGAGAGAGGUGAGUGGAAUUCCGAGUGUAGAGGUGAAAUUCGUAGAUAUUCGGAGGAACACCAGUUGCGAAGGCGGCUCACUGGCUCGAUACUGACGCUGAGGUGCGAAAGUGUGGGGAGCAAACAGGAUUAGAUACCCUGGUAGUCCACACCGUAAACGAUGAAUGCCAGUCGUCGGGUAGCAUGCUAUUCGGUGACACACCUAACGGAUUAAGCAUUCCGCCUGGGGAGUACGGUCGCAAGAUUAAAACUCAAAGGAAUUGACGGGGCCCGCACAAGCGGUGGAGCAUGUGGUUUAACUCGAAGCAACGCGCAGAACCUUACCAACCCUUGACAUCCUGAUCGCGGUUUCUCGAGAGAGAUUCCUUCAGUUCGGCUGGAUCAGUGACAGGUGCUGCAUGGCUGUCGUCAGCUCGUGUCGUGAGAUGUUCGGUUAAGUCCGGCAACGAGCGCAACCCACGUCCUUAGUUACCAGCAUUUAGUUGGGUACCCUAGGGAGACUGCCGGUGAUAAGCCGGAGGAAGGUGUGGAUGACGUCAAGUCCUCAUGGCCCUUACGGGUUGGGCUACACACGUGCUACAAUGGUAAUGACAAUGGGUUAAUCCCAAAAAGUUAUCUCAGUUCGGAUUGGGGUCUGCAACUCGACCCCAUGAAGUCGGAAUCGCUAGUAAUCGCGUAACAGCAUGACGCGGUGAAUACGUUCCCGGGCCUUGUACACACCGCCCGUCACACCAUGGGAGUUGGGUUUACCCGAAGGCCGUGCGCCAACCUUUCGAGGGGGCAGCGGACCACGGUGAGCUCAGCGACUGGGGUGAAGUCGUAACAAGGUA